AUCUCAAUAGAAAGGUCAAUAGUGGCUCAUCAGAAGACCUAGCUCAUGAAAAUACUGACAUCAAGAGAAAGGUUAACAGUGGAGAUAAAAUCUCCUCAAAAUCCAAUCUCCGGAUUGGUAGUCUUGAGAGGCAUGGAGAUAAAAUCUCCUCAAAAUCCAAUCCUCAGGGUUGGUAGAGCCCAGAGAGGCAUAGAGAUAAGAUCUCAAAAUUCAAACCUCA
rnacentral:lncRNA from 1 species